rfam:Verruconis gallopava strain CBS 43764 unplaced genomic scaffold supercont1.17, whole genome shotgun sequence.
GGCAAGAUGGCCGAGCGGUCUAAGGCGCCAGCUUCAGGUCACAAAUUGUGUAAGAUGCUGGUCAAGAAAUUGGCGUGGGUUCGAAUCCCACUCUUGUCA